rnacentral:misc_RNA from 1 species
GAUGAAGAACGCAGCGAAAUGCGAUAAGUAAUGUGAAUUGCAGAAUUCAGUGAAUCAUCGAAUCUUUGAACGCACCUUGCACCCUUUGGCAUUCCGAAGGGUAUGCUCGUUUGAGUGUCAUUGUACUCUCACACUCUCCGAUCCUAUGGAUUCGGGGAGCGGUGGACUUGGGUGUUGCUGCCUUUCCUUGUGGCUCACCUCAAAUGUGUCAGUGCACCUCUUGGUUGGACAUAGUACGGCGUGAUAAGUGUCUUCGCCGGCACCUCGCAAGAGGGUGGCCGAUCGGGAGCUCUGUGCUUUCAAACCGUCUUCGGACAAUUUCUGACAACUUGACCUCAAAUCGAGUAGGACUACCCGCUGAACUUAAGCAUAUCAAUAAGGAGG